AGGUUAGCAAUGAUGAAAGAACUCAUAUACUAACACACACACAGGUUAGCAAUGAUGAAAGAACUCAUAUACUAACACGCACACAGGUUAGCAAUGACGCAAGAACUUGUAAACUAACUAACACAAACAGGUUAGCAAUGAUGGAAUAACUCAUAUACUAACUAACACACACACACACAGGUUAGCAAUGAUAGAAGAACUCGUAUACUACCUAACACACACACACACACACACACACACACACACACACACACACACACACACACACACACACACACACACACACACACACACACACACACACACACACACACACACACACAGGUUAGCAAUGAUGGAAGAACUUGUAUACUAACUAACAAACACAGGUUAGCAAUGAUGGAAGAACUUGUAUACUAACUAACACACACAGGUUAGCAAUGAUGGAAGAACUUGUAUAAUAACUAACACACACAGGUUAGCAAUGAUGGAAGAACUUGUAUACUAACACGCACACAGGUUAGCAAUGAUGAAAGAACUCAUAUACUAACACGCACACAGGUUAGCAAUGACGCAAUAACUUGUAAACUAACUAACACAAACAGGUUAGCAAUGAUGGAAUAACUCAUAUACUAACUAACACACACACACACAGGUUAGCAAUGAUAGAAGAACUCGUAUACUACCUAACACACACACACACACACACACACACACACACACACACACACACACACACACACACACACACACACACACACACACACACACACACACACACACACACACAGGUUAGCAAUGAUGGAAGAACUUGUAUACUAACUAACAAACACAGGUUAGCAAUGAUGGAAGAACUUGUAUACUAACUAACACACACAGGUUAGCAAUGAUGGAAGAACUUGUAUAAUAACUAACACACACAGGUUAGCAAUGAUGGAAGAACUUGUAUACUAACUAACACACACAGGUUAGCAAUGAUGAAAGAACCCGUAUACUACCUAACACACACACACACACACACAGGUUAGCAAUGAUAGAAGAACUCGUAUACUACCUAACACACACACACACAGGUUAGCAAUGAUGAAAGAACUCAUAUACUAACACACACACAGGUUAGCAAUGAUGAAAGAACUCAUAUACUAACACGCACACAGGUUAGCAAUGACGCAAGAACUUGUAAACUAACUAACACAAACAGGUUAGCAAUGAUGGAAUAGCUCAUAUACUAACUAACACACACAGGUUAGCAAUGAUAGAAGAACUCGUAUACUACCUAACACACACACACACACACACACACACACACACACACACACGCACACGCACACGCACACACACACACACACGUUAGCAAUGAUGGAAGAACUUGUAUACUAACUAACAAACACAGGUUAGCAAUGAUGGAAGAACUUGUAUACUAACUAACACACACAGGUUAGCAAUGAUGGAAGAACUUGUAUACUAACUAACAGACACAGGUUAGCGAUGAUGGAAGAACUUGUAUACUAACUAACACACAGGUUAGUAAUGAUGGAAGAACUCGUAUACUAACACACACACAGGUUAGCAAUGAUGGAAGACCUCGUAAACUAACACACACACACAGGUUAGCAAUGAUAGAAGAACCCGUAUACAACCUAACACACACGCACAGGUUAGUAAUGAUGGAAGAACUCGUAUACUAACCAACACACACACACAGGUUAGCAAUGAUGGAAGAACUUGUAUACUAACUAACACACACAGGUUAGCAAUGAUGGAAGAACUCAUAUACUAACACACACACACUGGUUAGCAAUGAUGGAAGAACUCAUAAAUGAACUAACACACAGGUUAGCAAUGAUAGAAGAACCCGUAUACAACCUAACACACACGCACAGGUUAGUAAUGAUGGAAGAACUCGUAUACUAACCAACACACACACACAGGUUAGCAAUGAUGGAAGAACUUGUAUACUAACUAACACACACAGGUUAGCAAUGAUGGAAGAACUCAUAUACUAACACACACACACUGGUUAGCAAUGAUGGAAGAACUCAUAAAUGAACUAACACACAGGUUAGCAAUGAUGGAAGAACUCGUAUACUAACUAACACAAACAGGUUAGCAAUGAUGGAAGAACUUGUAUACUAACACACACACAGGUUAGCAAUGAUGGAAGAACUCGUAUACUAACUAACACAAACAGGUUAGCAAUGAUGGAAGAACUCGUAUACUUCCUCACACACACACACACACACACACACACACACACACACACACACACACACACACACACACACACACACACACACAGGUUAGCAAUGAUGGAAGAACUCGUAUACUAACACACACACAGGUUAGCAAUGAUGAAAGAACUCGUAUACUAACUAACACACACAGGUUUGUAAUGAUGGAAGAACUCAUAUACUAACACACACACAGGUUAGCAAUGACGCAAGAACUUGUAAACUAACUGACACACACAGGUUAUCAAUGAUGGAAUAACUCAUAUACUAACACACACACAGGUUAGCAAUGACGCAAGAACUUGUAAACUAACUGACACACACAGGUUAUCAAUGAUGGAAGAACUCGUAUACUAACACACACACAGGUUAGCAAUGAUGAAAGAACUUGUAUACUAACUAACACACACAGGUUUGUAAUGAUGGAAGAACUCAUAUACUAACACACACACAGGUUAGCAAUGACGCAAGAACUUGUAAACUAACUGACACACACAGGUUAUCAAUGAUGGAAUAACUCAUAUACUGACACACACACACACACACACACACACACACACACACACACACACACACACACACACACACACACACACACACACACACACACACACAGGUUAGCAAUGAUGGAAUAACUUGUAUACUAACACACACACAGGUUAGCAAUGAUGGAAGAACUUGUAUACUAACACACACACAGGUUAGCAAUGAUGGAAGAACUUGUAUACUAACACACACACACAGGUUAGCAAUGAUGGAAGAACUCAUAAACGAACUAACACACAGGUUAGUAAUGAUGAAGAACUUGUGUUCUAACUAACACACACAGGUUAGCAAUGAUGGAAGAACUUGUAUACUAACACACACACAGGUUAGCAAUGAUGGAAGAACUUGUAUACUAACACACACACAGGUUAGCAAUGAUGGAAGAACUUGUAUACUAACACACACACACAGGUUAGCAAUGAUGGAAGAACUCAUAAACGAACUAACACACAGGUUAGUAAUGAUGAAGAACUUGUGUUCUAACUAACACACACAGGUUAGCAAUGAUGGAAGAACUUGUGUUCUAACUAACACACACACACGUGAGCAAUGAUGGAAUAACACUUAUACAAAUAAACACACACAUACACAGGUUAGCAAUGUUGGAAGAACUUGCAUACAAACACAUACAAGUGUAAUAACACAGACUCAGAAUUAUGGGUCAUCUCUCCUGU